AACUCUGAACGUUUCCUCCGUUUUUUUUUCUUUAGGAAAAGUUCUCUCAUGGAAUGCAUGAAGAAGUAGACUGUACAUAAAGUUGCAUUAUUAUACAAAUUACACGGUCAUUUCUUUGAUAAGAAUGGCUACAGUUCCAACAAAACAUGAAGGACGAAUAAAAGGUGUUGUUGGGCGAGGUGAGCACCUCGAGUUACAUUUGUAAACUAAUCCUAACUUAGGAUUCCUAAGUAGUUAAAUGACCGAUACAUGAGUUGCAUGUUGCAUCAGUGGCGAAAUAUAUCGAAUAAUUAAUCAUUUGGAAUUUGAUACCUUGUUUUCCAAGAAAUAAAAUCUAGACUAAUAUUUUUUCAUGUGAACUAAUAAACAAAAUUGUACAUACACAUCUCUCUAAAAAAUUAUAUAUUCUAUAUAGUUGCACUUUCACAUUAUACGCAUUAUCUCAUUUUGGCUGCUUACUCUCUAAAUCAAUAAUCCAUCCAGUCCUCGAUGAUCCUUCCUCAAUAACGUAUUUGCAGAGGGUAAAUAUACGAAAAACCUCAUCAGUUACCAGAAAAUUACGAAGUCCAAACAACAAAGUACAACAUUAUGUAAUGAGACAAAGAAAGAAAAAAAACUCAAACAAAGGAGCUCGUACAUACAGAUAUCUUUUACACUUUUGCACAAAUUAUUUCUGUAUAAUGCUGUAUUUUCCAUUAAGUCUACAAAGUAUGUUGUAAUGUUGUACACAUUGUUUCCACCAAUAAAUUACAAGUUUCUUUGACUCGUCCUUCCACAAGGCCUGUUACUUGUAUCAAUACGGCCACUAAUUAAUCGCAUUGGUUGGAUGGUGGUCUUGUACUUGCUGUACGUCCAAAUAGUGCAGCAUCAGAAAGUGGUUUCACCACUUAUUCCGUCACACCCUCCUUAUUCGCUCGCCUGCUAUUCCAGUCCAGCAACCGACUAAAUGAUUCUGCUGCUUGGUGCCAGCAGUGCAGUCCAAUGAGUGCACUAACUAAUAACGUUGCUAAAGAGGCCUCAAAUGCAUGUGAGUGAGGUGCAUCAUGUGCGAAAUCAAAGCAUGCUAUACGUAAUGUACACAUGGUCAGCUAGCCCCAUAUGCAGGCAGGCAGGAGAGGAGAGGUUCCAAUGCAUCAUGCCAUCCAUCCAUCCAUCCAUCCACAUACAUAAUAUGCAGCAGUUAAGGUUUGCAAACUUUGCCAAGGAGGCCAACACAACGGUUUCUACGAAUAUUCGCACGUUCGAAGUCUCUUCAGCAACAUCUCUCCUGGGUUUCUCACUCACCCUCCGUCCCAGAUUCCUCGCUCGCCUCCUCCGUCUUACGUAACUGCUGCCUGCGAGGGGAUGAUGAGAAUAAUGGCUCUUCUCCCACAAGAAGAAGCUGCCAGAAGAGAAAAGUGAUACUUUUACCCCAACUACGCCACGGACGAUAAAUAUUGCAUACAACAAAGUGCUACGGUUUGUGCACCAACAACAACUCGCUCAAAUUCAUGAACAUUCCUUGGGGCGAGAUUGAGAUUGGAUGCGUUGGAGAAAGUGAGCUCUCGUAUUUAUUAUGCAAACUCUAGUUCGCCUUCCUAUCAUGGUUGCAAGUUAAAGAAAAAAA